AUUGAACGCUGGCGGCAGGCCUAACACAUGCAAGUCGAACGAGUGGCGGACGGGUGAGUAAUGUCUGGGACACUGCCCGAUGUAGGGGGAUCACUACUGGACACGGUCGCUAAUACCGCAUACCAUCGGAUGUGCCCAGAUGGGCUUAGCUAGUAGGUGGGGUAACGGCUCACCUAGGCGCCGAUCCCUAGCUGGUCUGAGAGGAUGACCAGCCACACUGGAACUGAGACACGGUCCAGACUCCUACGGGAGGCAGCAGUGGGGAAUAUGGCACAAUGGGCGCAAGCCUGAUGCAGCCAUGCCGCGUGUAUGAAGAAGGCCUUCGGGUUGUAAAGUACUUUCAGCGAGGAGGCGUUACUCGCAGAAGAAGCACCGGCUAACUCCGUGCCAGCAGCCGCGGUAAUUC
rnacentral:rRNA from 1 species